rnacentral:lncRNA from 1 species
AGAUGCCCUGGAUCCCAGGCAGAAGGGAGAAAUUUCGGCAGCGCCCCCAGCAAAUUCUCCAGCCACAGGCAUUGCUGCUUGUCGCUGCUGCCCAGGCCAAUCGCCCAGGAGGAGCCGCUGCUUCAGAGCCUCCUGCAGGGUCCGGAGCUGCCUGCCAGGAAAGUGUGCAGGCCCUCAGCGGUGCCUGACUCCAGUGCCCCGGGCGCUGCCGAGCCUCGGCCCCAGUGCGAGGAAGAGACAGGUGUCCCUGAAUUGGCAGCCACUGACGUGAGUGUGCAAUUUCUCCCCCUGCCCACGCCAGGUGCUCAGAAGCUCCCAAGCCCAGCACUUCCGGCUCACCUUUCUCUACAGCCUGGCUCUCUCCCUUGUUCUCUCUGUCUCUGUCAACUUGUAUCUCUGUUUCUGUUUCUCCUUUUCCUGCAGUCUCUGUCUCUCUGUCUCUGUUGCCAUGUCCCUCUUUCUGUAUUUGUUCUUUCCAUCUCUGUCUCUGUUUCUCUCUUCACUGCCUCUCUUUUCCUCGGUGUCUCUCUCUGCCUCUGUCUGUCUCUGUGUCUCUCUUCUCACCUCUCUCUCUCUCCCUUCCUCAUCUCUGUAACUUUGUCUCUGUUUCUCACCAAGCCUCGAAACAACACUCGAGGCCUGGUCCCCAUAAAGCGGUUGGGGGAGUUGGGCUGAGCCGGCACUGGACAACAUCCUGGUGUG